rnacentral:rRNA from 1 species
GAUGAACGCUGGCGGCGUGCCUAAUACAUGCAAGUCGAGCGAACAGACGAGGAGCUUGCUCCUCUGACGUUAGCGGCGGACGGGUGAGUAACACGUGGAUAACCUACCUAUAAGACUGGGAUAACUUCGGGAAACCGGAGCUAAUACCGGAUAAUAUAUUGAACCGCAUGGUUCAAUAGUGAAAGACGGUUUUGCUGUCACUUAUAGAUGGAUCCGCGCCGCAUUAGCUAGUUGGUAAGGUAACGGCUUACCAAGGCAACGAUGCGUAGCCGACCUGAGAGGGUGAUCGGCCACACUGGAACUGAGACACGGUCCAGACUCCUACGGGAGGCAGCAGUAGGGAAUCUUCCACAAUGGGCGAAAGCCUGACGGAGCAACGCCGCGUGAGUGAUGAAGGUCUUCGGAUCGUAAAACUCUGUUAUUAAGGAAGAACAAAUGUGUAAGUAACUAUGCACGUCUUGACGGUACCUAAUCAGAAAGCCACGGCUAACUACGUG